rnacentral:rRNA from 1 species
AUGGAUGCACCAAAUCAGUGUGAAACUAUGAUUUUUAAGCUAGUUUGUGUUUCCAUCAGCCAAAUGAUAUUCGGCAAUUCCUGGAUCUUUGGGUCCUCCUUCGCGGAGUGCAGCUACAAGUGGGCGUGGAGGAUACCAUAUUGUGGAAACACACGGCCUGUGGGAGCUACUCAUAACGUGCACUACUUGACCAUCACCCGUUCUGCCAUCCAAGACAGGUUAUGGACAUCCGUUCGCUUGGCAAAGCGAGGGUGGCCAAACAGUGGCCCGUGCACCUUCUGUAGGCGUGAACAAGAGACCGUCGAGCACAUUUUCUUUCAAUGUAGAUACACCUUGAGAGUUUGGGAGAUGGUCAGAGCUUGGCUUCAACUCAUUGAUUUGGAUACUUCAGGUUGGGCGGCUUACACGAGCAUCCAUGAGUGGUGGUGUGAAUCGGCUUCCGCCUACAGUGCACACAAGAAAGUGAUGCUGUCUAUCUUCAUGCUCGUUUUUUUUUGGCGACUAUCUUCAUGCUCGUUUUGA